UGGGGAAUUUUGCACAAUGGGGGGAACCUUGAUGCAGCGACGCCGCGUGAGGGAUGGAGGCCUUCGGGUUGUGAACCUCUUUCGCUCGUGUGCAAGCCGCUAUUUGGGUAGUGGUGAGUGUAGCGGGUAAAGAAGCGCCGGCUAACUACGUGCCAGCAGCCGCGGUAAUACGUAGGGCGCGAGCGUUGUCCGGAUUUAUUGGGCGUAAAGGGCUUGUAGGCGGUUUGUCGCGCCUGUCGUGUAAUCCUCUGGCUUAACUGGGGGUGUGCGGUGGGUACGGGCAGGCUUGAGCGCGGUAGGGGAGAUUGGAAUUCCUGGUGUAGCGGUGGAAUGCGCAGAUAUCAGGAGGAACACCGGUGGCGAAGGCGGGUCUCUGGGCCGUUACUGACGCUGAGGAGCGAAAGCGUGGGGAGCGAACAGG
rnacentral:rRNA from 1 species